rnacentral:rRNA from 1 species
CAGUUCGGAUUGUAGUCUGCAACCCGACUACAUGAAGCUGGAAUCGCUAGUAAUCGCGAAUCAGAAUGUCGCGGUGAAUACGUUCCCGGGUCUUGUACACACCGCCCGUCACACCACGGAAGUUGGGGGCGCCCGAAGCCACUUAGCUAACCCUUUGGGAAGCGAGUGUCGAAGGUGAAAUCAAUAACUGGGGUGAAGUCGUAACAAGGUAUC